rnacentral:rRNA from 1 species
AUACGACCUACGGGUGAAAGCAGGGGACCUUCGGGCCUUGCGCGAUUGAAUGAGCCGAUGUCGGAUUAUCUAGUUGGCGGGGUAAAGGCCCACCAAGGCGACGAUCCGUAUCUGGUCUGAGAGGAUGAUCAGCCACACUGGAACUGAGACACGGCCCAUACUCCUACGGGAGGCAGCAAUGGGGAAUAUUGGACAAUGGGCGCAAGCCUGAUCCACCCAUACCGCGAGGGUGAAGAAGGGCUUCGGGUUGUAAAGCCCUUUUGUUGGGAAAGAAAUCCAUCUGGCUAAUACCCGGUUGGGAUGACGGUACCCAAAGAAUAAGCACCGGCUAACUUCGUGCCAGCAGCCGCGGUAAUACGAAGGGUGCAAGCGUUACUCGGAAUUACUGGGCGUAAAGCGUGCGGAGGGGGUCGAUUAAGUCCGAUGUGAAAGCCCUGGGCUCAGCCUGGGAACUGCACUGGAUACUGAGCGACUAGAAUGUGGUAGAGGGUAUCGGAAUUCCUCGUGUAGCAGUGAAAUGCGUAGAGAUCAGGAGGAACAUCCAUGGCGAAUGCAUGCUACUCUGGACCCACCACUUGACACUGAGGCACGAAAGCGUGGGGGAGCGAACAGAGAUUACAUACCCUGCGUAGUCCACACCCUAAACAAUGCGAACUGGAUGGUGGGGUGCGAUUUGGCACGCACUAUCGAAGCUACGCGAUAACCUCGCCGCCUGGGGGAGGACGGUCGCAAGACUGAAACUCAUACGAAUUGACUGGCGGCCCGCCACCACGCGGUGGAUGAUGUGUAUUAUUUCUAUGCAACGACGGACCACCCUCUUCCUCGUUCUUCGACAUGGUCGAGAGCUAUACAAAAAUGUAUUGGUUGCUAUCGGGAACUCGAACAACACCUGCUGGCAUGGGCUGUCGUCGGCUCUUGUUCUUGCGAUGUUGGAGUUAGUCCAGCGACGAGCGUCAUCCUUCAUCCUUAGUUGGCGGUCA